AACGUAGGAGACAGACGUUAUCCGGAGUUACUGGGCGUAAAGGGCGUGUAGGUGGUUUCGUAAGUCUGGCGUGAAAUUUUUCGGCUUAACCGGGAAAGGUCGUCGGAUACUGCGGAGCUAGAGGACGGUAGAGGCGUGUGGAAUUCCGGGUGUAGUGGUGAAAUGCGUAGAGAUCCGGAGGAACACCAGUGGCGAAGGCGACACGCUGGGCCGUACCUGACACUGAUGCGCGACAGCAUGGGGAGCAAACAGG
rnacentral:rRNA from 1 species